rnacentral:siRNA from 1 species
CGUCCUCAUGAGUUGGUGUCUU